GGGUUGUAGGACACUCUAUACGGAGUUACAAAAGAACAUGUUAGACGAAUCAUCUGGAAAGAUGAAUCAAAGAAGGUAAUAAUCCUGUAGUCGAAAACAUAUUCUCUCUUGAGUGGAUCCUGAGUACGACGGAGCACGUGAAAUUCCGUCGGAAUCUAGGAGGACCAUCUCCUAAGGCUAAAUACUCUCUAGUGACCGAUAGUGAACCAGUACCGUGAGGGAAAGGUGAAAAGUACCCCGGAAGGGGAGUGAAAGAGAACUUGAAACCGUGUGCUUACAAGUAGUCAGAGCCCGUUUAUGGGUGAUGGCGUGCCUUUUGUAGAAUGAACCGGCGAGUUACGAUCUGAUGCAAGGUUAAGCAGCGAAUGUGGAGCCGUAGCGAAAGCGAGUCUGAAUAGGGCGUUGAGUAUUUGGUCGUAGACCCGAAACCAGGUGAUCUACCCUUGGUCAGGUUGAAGUUCAGGUAACACUGAAUGGAGGACCGAACCGACUUACGUUGAAAAGUGAGCGGAUGAACUGAGGGUAGCGGAGAAAUUCCAAUCGAACUUGGAGAUAGCUGGUUCUCUCCGAAAUAGCUUUAGGGCUAGCCUCAAGUGAUGAUUAUUGGAGGUAGAGCACUGUUUGGACGAGGGGCCCCUCUCGGGUUACCGAAUUCAGACAAACUCCGAAUGCCAAUCAAUUUAACUUGGGAGUCAGAACAUGGGUGAUAAGGUCCGUGUUCGAAAGGGAAACAGCCCAGACCACCAGCUAAGGUCCCAAAAUAUAUGUUAAGUGGAAAAGGAUGUGGCGUUGCCCAGACAACUAGGAUGUUGGCUUAGAAGCAGCCAUCAUUUAAAGAGUGCGUAAUAGCUCACUAGUCGAGUGACACUGCGCCGAAAAUGUACCGGGGCUAAACAUAUUACCGAAGCUGUGGAUUGUCCUUUGGACAAUGGUAGGAGAGCGUUCUAAGGGCGUCGAAGCAUGAUCGCAAGGACAUGUGGAGCGCUUAGAAGUGAGAAUGCCGGUGUGAGUAGCGAAAGACGGGUGAGAAUCCCGUCCACCGAUUGACUAAGGUUUCCAGAGGAAGGCUCGUCCGCUCUGGGUUAGUCGGGUCCUAAGCUGAGGCCGACAGGCGUAGGCGAUGGAUAACAGGUUGAUAUUCCUGUACCACCUAGUAUCGUUUUAAUCGAUGGGGGGACGCAGUAGGAUAGGCGAAGCGUGCUGUUGGAGUGCACGUCCAAGCAGUAAGGCUGAGUGUUAGGCAAAUCCGGCACUCAUAAGGC
rnacentral:rRNA from 1 species